rnacentral:rRNA from 1 species
UACGUAGGGUCCGAGCAUUGUCCGGAAUUAUUGGGCGUAAAGGGCUCGUAGGCGGUCUGUUGCGUCGGGAGUGAAAACUUACAGCUUAACUGUGAGCGUGCUUCCGAUACGGGCAGACUUGAGGUAUUCAGGGGAGAACGGAAUUCCUGGUGUAGCGGUGAAAUGCGCAGAUAUCAGGAGGAACACCGGUGGCGAAGGCGGUUCUCUGGGAAUAUCCUGACGCUGAGGAGCGAAAGUGUGGGGAGCGAACAGG